UACGUAGGGUCGCAAGCGUUGUCCGGAAUUAUUGGGCGUAAAGAGCUCGUAGGCGGUUUGUCGCGUCUGCUGUGAAAACUCACAGCUUAACUGUGGGCGUGCGGGCGAUACGGGCAGACUGGAGUACUGCAGGGGAGACUGGAAUUCCUGGUGUAGCGGUGGAAUGCGCAGAUAUCAGGAGGAACACCGGUGGCGAAGGCGGGUCUCUGGGCAGUAACUGACGCUGAGGAGCGAAAGCGUGGGGAGCGAACAGG
rnacentral:rRNA from 1 species